ACGUGGGCGGGCUGUCGGUAACCGGGUCGACCCGCGGCCGCCGCGCUUCCUGGUGUCGCCGCAGAGGGCGCCGGCUGCCGAGCCGCCCACAGAGUCGCGAGGCCGGAAGCAGCGCGGCACCGCCCGUUCGCCCCAGCCGCCGCCAUGAAGGCCGUGGUGCAGCGCGUCACCCGGGCCAGCGUCACAGUUGGAGGAGAGCAGAUAAGUGCCAUUGGACGGGGCAUCUGUGUGUUGCUGGGUGUUUCUUUGGAAGAUACACAGAAGGAACUGGAGCACAUGGUCCGAAAGAUUUUAAACCUGCGUGUUUUUGAGGAUGAGGGUGGGAAACACUGGUCGAAGAGUGUGAUGGACAAGCAGUAUGAGGUGCUGUGUGUCAGCCAGUUCACCCUCCAGUGUGUCCUGAAGGGGAACAAGCCUGACUUCCACCUGGCAAUGCCCACGGAGCAGGCAGAGAGCUUCUACAACAGCUUCCUGGAGCAACUGCGCAAGACAUACAGGCCGGAGCUCAUCAAAGACGGCAAGUUUGGUGCCUACAUGCAAGUCCAUAUUCAGAAUGAUGGGCCUGUGACCAUAGAACUGGAAUCCCCGGUUUCUGGUGCUGCUACCUCCGACCCAAAGCAGCUGUCAAAACUUGAAAAACAGCAGCAGAGGAAAGAAAAGACCAGAGCCAAAGGGCCUUCUGAGUCAAGCAAAGAAAGAAACACUCCACGCAAAGAAGACCGCAGUGCCAGCAGUGGCGCCGAGGGUGACGUGUCUUCCGAGAGGGAACCAUAGACUUUGGGAUGGUACUCAGAGACAUCAAAAAAAUACAUUUGGAAAAAGAUGUCAUCCUUUCACCAGCUCUCACAGUGCAUUAUCAUUGGGCAGAACUGGAUCCUGAAAAUUUCAUGAAAGAUGCUAACUACCUACACUGCUUUAAGAAUUUGGAACUGAAUCACGAAAAGAAAGACAGAAGUAAGAAACUUGGAACCUGAAUAGCCCUGAAAAAAAACACCAAAGGAACAUUACCAUUUUCUUUUGUUGCUGUGGUCUGAUAGAGGAAGUGGGUGAUGCUAGUGUGGGGAGUGCAUCCCAUGCUCUUGGCAGCAGGGCAUGUGCCCAGUGCCUCCCCAACAGAAAGGUUUUGUUGGUUCCUAUGAUGUCUUGGCUUGCUUUUGGGACAGGCUAACCCAACAUCAUUUGUCACUGAGUCCUUCUUUCACUGUGGUAUGUUUCUGUGUGUCUGUGAUGGGUCUCAAAUGCAUUCAUGCUGUCCAUGUUCUUCCCAACACUGGCUAAGCCAGGGCCCAUGUAAAGGUGUAAAGAGAACAAUCAUCAGUGGUAAUGUAUUGUGUAAGAACUUUGCAUCUUAUAAAUUUUCUCUUUUUUUCUAAAGAAUAAAUCUUUGAAUCUCAACAAAUCACUUUAUUAUUAAAGAAAUCCUGCUGUGUUUCUGCUUAAUGAUUUUGUCUGUAGAAAUAUAAUGUAUCUGACUCUA